UACGGAGGAUGCAAGCGUUAUCCGGAAUUAUUGGGCGUAAAGCGUCCGUAGGUGGCUUUACAAGUCAGCUGUUAAAGCGUGGAGCUUAACUCCAUAAAGGCAGUUGAAACUGUGAGGCUAGAGUGCGUUCGGGGCAGAGGGAAUUCCUGGUGUAGCGGUGAAAUGCGCAGAUAUCAGGAGGAACACCGGUGGCGAAGGCGGGUCUCUGGGCCGAUACUGACGCUGAGGAGCGAAAGCGUGGGGAGCGAACAGG
rnacentral:rRNA from 1 species